UACCAGCACCCCGAGUGGUCGGGACGAUUAUUGGGCCUAAAGCAUCCGUAGCCGGUUUUACAAGUCCUCCGUUAAAUCCAGCUGCUUAACAGAUGGGCUGCGGAGGAUACUAUAAGACUAGGAGGCAGGAGAGGCAAGCGGUACUCAGUGGGUAGGGGUAAAAUCCGUUGAUCCAUUGAAGACCACCAGUGGCGAAGGCGGCUUGCCAGAAUGCGCUCGACGGUGAGGGAUGGAAGCUGGGGGAGCAAACCGG
rnacentral:rRNA from 1 species